rnacentral:rRNA from 1 species
CCAAUAGCGUAUAUUAAAGUUGUUGCAGUUAAAAAGCUCGUAGUUGAAUUUCGGGGUUUAUCCGUCGGUCGGGCUUUUGGGUCUGUACUGGCGUGAUGGAUUCCUACCUUCUGAAUAACCGGAGUGUCAUUAAUUUGGUGGGCCGGGGACGCAGGACGGUGACCUUGAAAAAAUUAGAGUGCUUAAAGCAGGCUAUUGCCUGAAUACAUUAGCAUGGAAUAAUGGCAUAGGACGCAUGGUUCUAUUUUGUUGGUUUCUAGGAUCACCGUAAUGAUUAAUAGGGAUAGUUGGGGGCAUUAGUAUUCAAUUGUCAGAGGUGAAAUUCUUUGAUUUAUUGAAGACUAACUUCUGCGAAAGCAUUUGCCAAGGAUGUUUUCAUUAAUCAAGAACGAAAGUUAGGGAAUCGAAGACGAUCAGAUACCGUCGUAGUCUUAACCAUAAACUAUGCCGACUAGGGAUCGGACGAUGUUAAUUUUUUAAUGACUCGUUCGGCGCCUUACG